UACGGGGGGGCAAGCGUUGUUCGGAAUCACUGGGCGUAAAGCGCACGUAGGCGGAUUUGUCAGUCAGGGGUGAAAUCCCGGGGCUCAACCUCGGAACUGCCUUUGAUACAGCAAGUCUUGAGUUCGAGAGAGGUGGGUGGAAUUCCUAGUUGUAGAGGUGAAAUUCGUAGAUAUUAGGAAGAACACCGGUGGCCGAAGGCGGCCCACUGGCUCGAGUACUGACGCUGAGGUGCGAAAGCGUGGGGAGCAAACAGGG
rnacentral:rRNA from 1 species